rnacentral:rRNA from 1 species
UGGGGAAUAUUGGGCAAUGGGCGAAAGCCUGACCCAGCCACGCCGCGUGAGUGAUGAAGGCCUUCGGGUCGUAAAGCUCUGUGGGGAGGGACGAAUAAGCCUGUACCUAACACGUACGGGCCCUGACGGUACCUCCUUAGCAAGCACCGGCUAACCAUGUGCCAGCAGCCGCGGUAAUACAUGGGGUGCAAACGUUGCUCGGAAUUAUUGGGCGUAAAGCGCGCGUAGGCGGUCUUUUAAGUCGGAUGUGAAAGCCCUCGGCUCAACCGGGGAAGUGCAUCCGAAACUGAAAGGCUUGAGUACCAAAGAGGAUCGCGGAAUUCCCGGUGUAGAGGUGAAAUUCGUAGAUAUCGGGAGGAACACCGGUGGCGAAGGCGGCGAUCUGGGUGGAUACUGACGCUGAGGCGCGAAAGCGUGGGGAGCAAACAG